rnacentral:rRNA from 1 species
GUAGGGAAUAUUGGGCAAUGGUCGGAAGACUGACCCAGCCAUGCCGCGUGCAGGAAGACGGCCCUCUGGGUUGUAAACUGCUUUUAUCUGGGAAGAAAAAGGCCAUGCGUGGCAAAUUGCCGGUACCAGAUGAAUAAGCACCGGCUAACUCCGUGCCAGCAGCCGCGGUAAUACGGAGGGUGCGAGCGUUGUCCGGAUUUAUUGGGUUUAAAGGGUGCGUAGGCGGCUGAUUAAGUCAGCGGUGAAAGACUGCGGCUUAACCGGAGCAGUGCCGUUGAUACUGGUUGGCUGGAGUGUCGGAGGGGUACAUGGAAUUGAUGGUGUAGCGGUGAAAUGCAUAGAUACCAUCAGGAACACCGAUAGCGAAGGCAUUGUACUGGCCGACAACUGACGCUGAUGCACGAAAGUGUGGGGAUCGAACAGGAUUAGAUACCCUUGUAGUCC